AUUGAACGCUGGCGGCAGGCCUAACACAUGCAAGUCGAACGGUAACAGGAAGAAGCUUGCUUCUUUGCUGACGAGUGGCGGACGGGUGAGUAAUGUCUGGGAAACUGCCUGAUGGAGGGGGAUAACUACUGGAAACGGUAGCUAAUACCGCAUAACGUCGCAAGACCAAAGAGGGGGACCUUCGGGCCUCUUGCCAUCGGAUGUGCCCAGAUGGGAUUAGCUUGUUGGUGGGGUAACGGCUCACCAAGGCGACGAUCCCUAGCUGGUCUGAGAGGAUGACCAGCCACACUGGAACUGAGACACGGUCCAGACUCCUACGGGAGGCAGCAGUGGGGAAUAUUGCACAAUGGGCGCAAGCCUGAUGCAGCCAUGCCGCGUGUAUGAAGAAGGCCUUCGGGUUGUAAAGUACUUUCAGCGGGGAGGAAGGGAGUAAAGUUAAUACCUGUGCUCAUUGACGUUACCCGCAGAAGAAGCACCGGCUAACUCCGUG
rnacentral:rRNA from 1 species